GAUGAACGCUGGCGGCGUGCCUAAUACAUGCAAGUCGAGCGCACGGACGAGAAACUUGUUUUUCUGAUGUUAGCGGCGGACGGGUGAGUAACACGUGGAUAACCUACCUAUAAGCCUGGGAUAACUUCGGGAAACCGAUGCUAAUACCGCAUAAAAUUUUUAACCACAUGGUUCAAAAGUGAAAGACGGUCUUGCUGUCACUUAUAGAUAGAUCCCCGCUGAUUUAGCUAGUUGGUAAGGUAACGGCGAACCAAGGCAACGAUGCAUAGCCGACCUGAGAGGGUGAUCGGCCACUCGGGAAUUGGGACAGGCUCCAGACUCCACCGGGAGGCAGCAGAAGGAAAUCUUCGGCAAUGGGCGAAAGCCUGACGGGGCAACGCGGCGGGAGUGAUGAGGGUCUUCGGAUCGUAAAACCCUGUUAUUAGGGAAGAACAUAUGUGGAAGGAACUGUGCACAACGUGACGGUACCUAAUCAGAAAGCCACGGCUAACUACGUG
rnacentral:rRNA from 1 species